rfam:Spinacia oleracea cultivar SynViroflay scaffold5459.con0012.1, whole genome shotgun sequence.
ACCAAUUCUGGGGGAUAAAAUCAGUUCCUUCAGGUAUAAUGGCUUGGGCCGCCAAAUUUAUGCUAAAACAGUGUGGUAUAUCCUGAUCAUUGAAGUCUUUCUCGUGUCAAAUUGGUCCUGGAAACGCCACAUAUAUCU